CCUACGGGAGGCAGCAGUGAGGAAUAUUGGUCAAUGGACGAGAGUCUGAACCAGCCAAGUAGCGUGAAGGAUGACUGCCCUAUGGGUUGUAAACUUCUUUUAUAUGGGAAUAAAAUGUUCCACGUGUGGGAUUUUGUAGGUACCAUAUGAAUAAGGAUCGGCUAACUCCGUGCCAGCAGCCGCGGUAAUACGGAGGAUCCGAGCGUUAUCCGGAUUUAUUGGGUUUAAAGGGAGCGUAGGUGGAUUGUUAAGUCAGUUGUGAAAGUUUGCGGCUCAACCGUAAAAUUGCAGUUGAAACUGGCAGUCUUGAGUACAGUAGAGGUGGGCGGAAUUCGUGGUGUAGCGGUGAAAUGCUUAGAUAUCACGAAGAACUCCGAUUGCGAAGGCAGUUCACUGGACUGCAACUGACACUGAGGCUCGAAAGUGUGGGUAUCAAACAGGAUUAGAUACCCCUGUAGUC
rnacentral:rRNA from 1 species